CGCACGGUGGAUGCCUUGGCACUAGGAGCCGAAGAAGGACGGGACUAACACCGAUAUGCUUUGGGGAGCUGUACGUAAGCGUUGAUCCAGAGAUUUCCGAAUGGGGGAACCCACUAUCUUUAGUCGGAUAGUAUCCUUACGUGAAUACAUAGCGUGAGGAAGGCAGACCCAGGGAACUGAAACAUCUAAGUACCUGGAGGAAGAGAAAGAAAAAUCGAUUUCCUGAGUAGCGGCGAGCGAAACGGAAAGAGCCCAAACCAAGAAGCUUGCUUCUUGGGGUUGUAGGACACUCUAUACGGAGUUACAAAAGAAAGUUAUAAAUGAAGCGGUCUGGAAAGGCCCGCCAAAGACGGUAACAGCCCGGUAGUUGAAAUGGCUUUCCCUCCAGAGUGGAUCCUGAGUACGGCGGAACACGUGAAAUUCCGUCGGAAUCCGGGAGGACCAUCUCCCAAGGCUAAAUACUCCCUAGUGACCGAUAGUGAACCAGUACCGUGAGGGAAAGGUGAAAAGCACCCCGGAAGGGGAGUGAAACAGUUCCUGAAACCGUGUGCCUACAAGUAGUUAGAGCCCGUUAAUGGGUGAUAGCGUGCCUUUUGUAGAAUGAACCGGCGAGUUACGAUUUGUUGCAAGGUUAAGCGGAAAAAGCGGAGCCGUAGCGAAAGCGAGUCUGAAUAGGGCGCAUAAGUAACAGGUCGUAGACCCGAAACCAGGUGAUCUACCCAUGUCCAGGAUGAAGGUAAGGUAAUACUUACUGGAGGUCCGAACCCACGCACGUUGAAAAGUGCGGGGAUGAGGUGUGGGUAGCGGAGAAAUUCCAAUCGAACUUGGAGAUAGCUGGUUCUCUCCGAAAUAGCUUUAGGGCUAGCCUCGAGGUAAAGAGUCAUGGAGGUAGAGCACUGUUUGGACUAGGGGCCCUUCUCGGGUUACCGAAUUCAGAUAAACUCCGAAUGCCAUGUACUUAUACUCGGGAGUCAGACUGCGAGUGAUAAGAUCCGUAGUCGAAAGGGAAACAGCCCAGACCACCAGUUAAGGUCCCCAAAUAUAU
rnacentral:rRNA from 1 species